rnacentral:rRNA from 1 species
AUUGAACGCUGGCGGCAGGCCUAACACAUGCAAGUCGAGCGAGCGGCGGACGGGUGAGUAAUGUAUGGGGAAUGCCCGAUAGAGGGGGAUAACUAUUGGAAACGGUGGCUAAUACCGCAUACUAUCGGAUAAACCGUAUGGGAUUAGCUAGUAGGUGGGGUAAAGGCUCACCUAGGCGACGAUCUCUAGCUGGUCUGAGAGGAUGAUCAGCGAUAUUGGGACUGAGAUACGGCCCAGACUCCUACGGAGGCAGCAGUGGGGGAUAUUGCACAAUGGGCGAAAACCUGAUGCAGCGACGCCGCGGUAAUUC